rnacentral:rRNA from 1 species
CCUACGGGGGGCAGCAGUGGGGAAUAUUGGACAAUGGGGGGAACCCUGAUCCAGCCAUGCCGCGUGUGUGAAGAAGGCCCUCGGGUUGUAAAGCACUUUCAGUGAGGAAGAACACCUGGUGGUUAAUACCCAUCAGGAAAGACAUCACUCACAGAAGAAGCACCGGCUAACUCCGUGCCAGCAGCCGCGGUAAUACGGAGGGUGCGAGCGUUAAUCGGAAUUACUGGGCGUAAAGCGCGCGUAGGUGGCUUGAUAAGCCGGUUGUGAAAGCCCCGGGCUCAACCUGGGAACGGCAUCCGGAACUGUCAAGCUAGAGUGCAGGAGAGGAAGGUAGAAUUCCCGGUGUAGCGGUGAAAUGCGUAGAGAUCGGGAGGAAUACCAGUGGCGAAGGCGGCCUUCUGGACUGACACUGACACUGAGGUGCGAAAGCGUGGGUAGCAAACAGGAUUAGAUACCCGUGUAGUC